rnacentral:rRNA from 1 species
GCUUACGACCACACGGCCUGAGUACGCCUGAUCUCGUCUGAUCUCGGAAGCUAAGCAGGGUCGCCUGGUUAGUACUUGGAUGGGAGACCGCCUGGGAAUACCAGGUGCUGUAAGUU